rnacentral:tRNA from 1 species
AGAAAGUGACAGAGUGGCUAUGUGGCUGGCUUGAAACCACCUUAUGGGGGUUCAAUUCCCUCCUUUCUC